ACUCUUCAACCCACCGGUUCCUGGUUGGAUCGAGUUGGUGUUUGGAUCUUGAAUGUUGCUGGCUUGAUUUCUUAGGAAGUGAAAGCGUAGCUCGUUCGUAAUACAUUAGCAUCUCAAUUUCUGAACUUCGGAUUGACUCAGCGUUAUAGACUAUUCGCUGAGGACACAAGUAACAUUGUGGCCGAGUUGAAAGAUAACUAGAAGCUUCUAAUCCCUUACUAGUCAAAACUAUAAGA
rnacentral:misc_RNA from 1 species